GCCCCCCAACAUCAAACCCAGGCAGCCCCUUCUCAGUCCCCAGGCUUCCUAAUAAGUCGUCCAAGUUCCUGUCUAACCCUGCAACCUGCCUCUGACUACCUCCCCAGGUAUCCUGUUCCUUACUCCCCCAGCUUGCCGCCUUUUCCUCUGUCCCUGAUCUGGGAGGUGUGGCAUUUCUGUUAUGCUAGGGAAAGGGAAGAUGGGACUCCUCUGAGAACUGAGGCGUUGUUUGCUCAGUCUGAGCCUGGUGACCCAGAGCAGUCUGAACUUGCUAACUUCGUGGUGCCUGGAAGAAAUCUCAAGAGAGCCAGUGACCCUUUCCCCCCUCCUCAUCAAACCUAAUUUCCCAGUAGCCCAUCCUUUCUUCUUGGUCUUGCUCCCCUCUUACUCCACCCUGGCUCAGCCUACAAUCCCCCUUUCCCCCUGCCCUUCCCCUUCCUCCCUAUGUCCCUGUCCCUCCCCUUCUCCUCCAGUUCCUAUGUCACCCACAUCCUCCCAUCCUCCUCUACUCUCUUCUUCUCACUUUUCUCCCCCUUCCCCCUCAUUCUCUUCUACUCUUCACCUUGAUCCCCCACCUCCUAUGCCAGUGACUUUCACAGACAUGGCUGUGUAUUUUGGAGAUGUCAUGUGGGAGAGCUACCGGAACCUCAUCUCGUUGGGUGAGUAACUCCCCCCACCACCAAAAAAAAUAAGAAAUACCACCCUGAUUCUGACAUUCAUUCUAUCAGGGGCACUGAAUUAAUUUAAAUGUUAAGCUGGAAGGUAGUGUCUCUGAAUGCCCUGCAUAGAAUGCCAGCAUUUUACACCCCUCCUAGAGGUCCUUAGCCCUCUCCUCUCUAUUCACCCUCAAGCAUCCUGCUUCCCCAUCUCCUGAGUCUUCCUGAAGCCAGCAAUCAGAUAUUUAUCAAGCACUUUUAAUUUGCAAGUAUUUGUGCUAGAUGCAGAGGUUGCAAGAACACACCAAAAAGGUGCCUUAUUGCCCAUUUGGGGAGAUGAGACCUACGGAAGCAGACAGUACAGUGAAAUGUAUGCUAAAUCCCAUCUGAUAGACAGUAAGUGCGGGAUUCCUGAGGAAUAAAGCACAGCAAUCUUGAGUGGUCA
rnacentral:lncRNA from 1 species